CAGCCGCCGCGGUAAUACGUAGGGUGCGAGCGUUGUCCGGAAUUAUUGGGCGUAAAGAGCUCGUAGGCGGUUUGUCGCGUCGAAUGUGAAAGCCCGGGGCUUAACUCCGGGUCUGCAUUCGAUACGGGCAGGCUAGAGUGUGGUAGGGGAGAUCGGAAUUCCUGGUGUAGCGGUGAAAUGCGCAGAUAUCAGGAGGAACACCGGUGGCGAAGGCGGAUCUCUGGGCCAUUACUGACGCUGAGGAGCGAAAGCGUGGGGAGCGAACAGGAUUAGAUACCCCUGUAGUCCCUGUCUCUUAUAC
rnacentral:rRNA from 1 species